GAAUCGCUAGUAAUCGCGGAUCAGAAUGCCGCGGUGAAUACGUUCCCGGGUCUUGUACACACCGCCCGUCACACCAUGGGAGUCGGAAAUGCCCGAAGUCUGUGACCCAACCUACGGGAGGGAGCAGCCGAAGGCAGGUCGGAUGACUGGGGUGAAGUCGUAACAAGGUAUC
rnacentral:rRNA from 1 species